CCGCUGCCGCCGAAUUCUUCCGGCACCAGCAGACCCGAGAAACCCAUCUCCGCGAAUGUCUUCCACAACUCGCGCGAGAAACCGGUUUCGUCCCUUGUGUCGCGCAGCUUGCGCAGAUGCGCCACCGGCGCCUUGUCGCUGAUGAGACCGCGCGCGCUGUCACGCAGCAUUGACUGUUCUUCGUUGAGGACAAGAGCCAUAGGUGUUCCAAUCGAUACAGAUAAACCUGAGUUGAAGCAGACUGUAAUUGCGAGGAGCGAAGCGACGAAGCCAUCCAGCUUUGCUCAAGGAU
rnacentral:misc_RNA from 1 species